rnacentral:rRNA from 1 species
GAUGAACGCUGGCUACAGGCUUAACACAUGCAAGUCGAGGGGAAACGACGGGGAAGCUUGCUUCCCCGGGCGUCGACCGGCGCACGGGUGAGUAACGCGUAUCCAACCUGCCUCUGACUGAGGGAUAACCCGUCGAAAGUCGGCCUAAUACCUCAUGGCAUCGUCUGCGGGCAUCCAACGACGAUUAAAGAUUUCAUCGGUCAGGGAUGGGGAUGCGUCUGAUUAGCUUGUUGGCGGGGUAACGGCCCACCAAGGCGACGAUCAGUAGGGGUUCUGAGAGGAAGGUCCCCCACAUUGGAACUGAGACACGGUCCAAACUCCUACGGGAGGCAGCAGUGAGGAAUAUUGGUCAAUGGGCGGGAGCCUGAACCAGCCAAGUAGCGUGCAGGAUGACGGCCCUAUGGGUUGUAAACUGCUUUUAGGCGGGGAUAAAGUGAGGGACGUGUCCCUCAUUGCAGGUACCGCAUGAAUAAGGACCGGCUAAUUCCGUG